ensembl:snRNA U2 U2 spliceosomal RNA
AUACUUACCUGGCAGGGGAAGCACCGUGACCACAUAGGUGGGCUCCCCAGGGCAAGUGAUUGUCUCUAAUAUGUCCUCCAUAGGAGGUCUAUAUUGAGCAGACUUUUUUUGGUGUUGGGUGGUAGAACUGGAGUUUGCUCCAUCCACUCCAAGCAUUGACCUGGUAUAACAGUGCUUCCAGGAACGGUGCAAAAAAA